rnacentral:rRNA from 1 species
AGCAGCCGCGGUAAUUCCAGCUCCAAUAGCGUAUAUUAAAGUUGCUGCAGUUAAAAAGCUCGUAGUUGAAUUUCGGGACCAUCAUGUCGGUCGUGCCUCGGUACGUACUGGCAUUGUUGGUUUCUCCCUUCUGACGAACCAUGAUGUCAUUAAUUUGGUGUCUUGGGGAAUCAGGACUGUUACUUUGAAAAAUUAGAGUGUUUAAAGCAGGCUCACGCUUGAAUACAUUAGCAUGGAAUAAUGAAAUAGGACGUUUGAUUCUAUUUUGUUGGUUUCUAGGAUCGACGUAAUGAUUAAUAGGGAUAGUUGGGGGCAUUAGUAUUCAAUUGUCAGAGGUGAAAUUCUUGGAUUUAUUGAAGACUAACUACUGCGAAAGCAUUUGCCAAGGAUGUUUUCAUUAAUCAAGAACGAAAGUUAGGGGAUCGAAGACGAUCAGAUACCGUCGUAGUCUAACCAUAAACU